UACGUAGGGUGCGAGCGUUGUCCGGAAUUAUUGGGCGUAAAGAGCUUGUAGGCGGUUUGUCGCGUCUGCCGUGAAAUUUCGAGGCUCAACCUCGAACUUGCGGUGGGUACGGGCAGACUAGAGUGUGGUAGGGGAGACUGGAAUUCCUGGUGUAGCGGUGAAAUGCGCAGAUAUCAGGAGGAACACCGAUGGCGAAGGCAGGUCUCUGGGCCGCUACUGACGCUGAGAAGCGAAAGCAUGGGGAGCGAACAGG
rnacentral:rRNA from 1 species